UGACACUCUCUCUCAAAAUCUGAAAAAAGAUCUUCCACUCCCCAACGUCUCUCCCCACUCAGUAACCACUCCCCAACGUCUCUCUCCACUAUUAAUAAUCUCACAGAACCUCACUCAUAAAUCUCUCUACUCCCUCAUUCACUAUACACUCAUUCUCUCUCAACUCCCUCACAGAAAACACACACAAUUCGUUCUCAAAAAAUUGCCUCUCUCAAUAUCCCUCUCACUCUCUAAAGAAACAGAAAAAACCUUUCUUCUUCCUUCCGCCGCCACCCUUCAUUCCUCACUAUCGGUUCUCCAUCUUCAAAAACCCUUCCUCUCCAAUCAUCUCCCUUCAUCCACCCGCAACAACCCAUCCGUCACCAUAGAACCUCCACCACAACCUCACCGUCAUCUCGCACAAAACCCUCAACAUCGCCGUCGAAACCGCCGCUUCCACCAUCAAAGCACCACCAACUCGCGCGACUUCUUCUCCACAGCAUCGCAAAGCCUUCUCAACCGCUUUUGAUUGAAGUCUAUUUUCUCGGUUCGCUUCGCCGGCAACAACCGCGGACUCGCUUUGUCACUACCUUCAAACAACAUCGCCGCUAAUAGUCAACAACAACAUAGUCUGCUGUUCAGAUGUAAACAAGGGUUUCUUGAGUUCCGCCUUCAAACCGAUCCACUGUCGGUUCAAAUUCCAUCACACCUCAAAAGCAGCUGUUAUUUACAUUGGUUGGAUUUUCAACUUGAAUCAAUUUUGUUGAGGUUAAAUUGGUGUGUAUGAGUGAGUAUAUGUUGCCCGGUGCUAUAGAUUUUGAGAGGUGAAUUCCGGUGUUUAUUUCGGUUCGUCAUGUGUUGUAGCAUUCUUCUUGGAUGUAAAUGCUGUAAAAUAAUUCUGCAGAUUGAUUAAGUUAUGCCAUUGCUUUUCGGUUGUGUCAAUUCUAUAAUUUCUAUAACAUGUUGAUUUAAGUUUGUGUAAAUAUUGUACUGUCCAUCCUCUUAAUUGCAUUUUCAAUUGUCAAUGUUGCUUUGUAAUUGAGACUGAUGUAAUAACUUUGGAAAUCAUGUGGUGAUUAUUUGGCAUUCAUUUUGGUUAUCCGGCGUGUGUGUCAAAUUGGUUUAAACCUGAAUAUCAAGAUUCAAAUGCAGUUAUGUUUUUGUU